CUGCAGUCGAGCGAAGGAUAAGGAGCUUGCUCCUUUGAAGUUAGCGGCGGACGGGUGAGUAACACGUGGGUAACCUACCUAUAAGACUGGAAUAACUUCGGGAAACCGGAGCUAAUGCCGGAUAACAUUUGGAACCGCAUGGUUCUAAAGUAAAAGAUGGUUUUGCUAUCACUUAUAGAUGGACCCGCGCCGUAUUAGCUAGUUGGUAAGGUAACGGCUUACCAAGGCAACGAUACGUAGCCGACCUGAGAGGGUGAUCGGCCACACUGGAACUGAGACACGGUCCAGACUCCUACGGGAGGCAGCAGUAGGGAAUCUUCCGCAAUGGACGAAAGUCUGACGGAGCAACGCCGCGUGAGUGAUGAAGGUUUUCGGAUCGUAAAACUCUGUUAUUAGGGAAGAACAAAUGUGUAAGUAACUGUGCACAUCUUGACGGUACCUAAUCAGAAAGCCACGGCUAACUACGUGCCAGCAGCCGCGGUAAUACGUAGGUGGCAAGCGUUAUCCGGAAUUAUUGGGCGUAAAGCGCGCGUAGGCGGUUUCUUAAGUCUGAUGUGAAAGCCCACGGCUCAACCGUGGAGGGUCAUUGGAAACUGGGAAACUUGAGUACAGAAGAGGAAAGUGGAAUUCCAUGUGUAGCGGUGAAAUGCGCAGAGAUAUGGAGGAACACCAGUGGCGAAGGCGACUUUCUGGUCUG
rnacentral:rRNA from 1 species